AUUUGUCCUGGGACAUAGGAUACACAAGGUAAGUAUAACAAGAUAUUUUGCACUAGCAUGAAACGGCUUGAACAACUACCAAAUAGGUUAGAUGCAUCAGCGUUGAUCUUCUGGAGCCGACGCCUUAUAAAGCCUGUCAGCUCAUCAACGCAGACUCCAGAUGUCAUGGUAGCAGCAUGAAGCUUCCUGGACGUGCAGCUCGCGCGAUUGGUCGCAGGAGACAGGAAAGUCGACCAAUGGGAACGCAGUUACCAGGCAGGCUGCUGCCUUGUUCCGAGGCAGCUGGAGGCCCCUACAGCUGUUCCAUUGAAAAGCAGCAGGAGAUAAUAACAUGGGCCCCUUACCACACACACACACACACACACAC